CCAGCAGCUGCGGUAAUUCCAGCUCCAAUAGCGUAUAUUAAAGUUGUUGCAGUUAAAAAGCUCGUAGUUGGAUUUCAAGAAACGCAGCGGGCAACCGUACUGCUUUCUACUAGCCUUUGGCUGUUACUGUGAGAAAAUUAGAGUGUUUCAAGCAGGCAAUUGCAGGAAUACAUUAGCAUGGAAUAACGAAUGUGUCUACAAUUUGGUUGAUUGUAGAUUACGGUUAAUAGGGACAGUUGGGGGCAUUAGUAUUUAAUUGUCAGAGGUGAAAUUCUUGGAUUUGUUAAAGACUAACUGAUGCGAAAGCGUUUGCCAAGGAUGUUUUCAUUGAUCAAGAACGAAA
rnacentral:rRNA from 1 species